rnacentral:rRNA from 1 species
UACGGAGGGUGCGAGCGUUGUCCGGAAUCAUUGGGCGUAAAGGGCGCGUAGGUGGCCCGGUCAGUUCGUGGUGAAAGCGCGGGGCUCAACCCUGCGUCGGCCAUGAAUACUGCCGCGGCUGGAGCACUGUAGAGGCAGGCGGAAUUCCGGGUGUAGCGGUGGAAUGCGUAGAGAUCCGGAAGAACACCGGUGGCGAAGGCGGUCUGCUGGGCAGUUACUGGACACUGAGGCGCGACA